rnacentral:misc_RNA from 1 species
AACGCAUAUUGCGCUCGCGACCUCGGUCAAGAGCAUGUCUGCCUCAGCGUCGUUUUGAUACCUCACUCCCAUACUUGUUUCCAAGUAUCGUGCAGCCGAUUUCGAUCGGUCUGACGGGGGUGGAUCUGGCUUCCCCGGUUAGGCCUUCUAGGUUCCCGGGUUGGCUGAAGUGAAGAGGCUAGAGCACGGACCCGUUAUGGGCAUCAACUGGAUAGGUAGAACGCCUUUUGGCUACUACACGAAGUUGACUGCUUGUGGACUGUGUUGGCGGCCAAACAGGAAACUUCUCUCACUUCGACCUGAGCUCAGGCAAGACUACCCACUGAACUUAA